GGAGCCCAAGCACUUUGAUUUCUCGUAAGGUGCCGAACGAGUCAAAAAAUAACAUCGUCCGAUCCCUAGUCGGCAUAGUUUAUGGUUAAGACUACGACGGUAUCUGAUCGUCUUCGAUCCCCUAACUUUCGUUCCUGAUUAAUGAAAACAUCCUUGGCAAAUGCUUUCGCAGUAGUUAGUCUUCAAUAAAUCCAAGAAUUUCACCUCUGACAAUUGAAUACUGAUGCCCCCGACUGUCCCUAUUAAUCAUUACGGCGGUCCUAGAAACCAACAAAAUAGAACCACACGUCCUAUUUUAUUAUUCCAUGCUAAUGUAUUCGAGCAUAGGCCUGCCUGGAGCACUCUAAUUUUUUCAAAGUAAAAGUCCUGUUUCCCCGCCACGCCCAGUGAAGGGCAUGGGGUUCCACAGAGGGAAAGGCCCGGCCGGACCAGUACACGCGGUCAGGCGGACCGGCCAGCCAGGCCCAAGGUUCAACUACGAGCUUUUUAACCACAACAACUUUAAUAUACGCUAUUGGAGCUGGAAUUACCGCGGCUGCUGGCACCAGACUUGCCCUCCAAUUGUUCCUCGUUAAGGGAUUUAAAUUGUACUCAUUCCAAUUGCAAGACCCAAAAGAGCCCUGCAUCAGUAUUUAUUGUCACUACCUCCCCGAGUCGGGAUUGGGUAAUUUGCGCGCCUGCUGCCUUCCUUGGAUGUAGUAGCCGUUUCUCAGGCUCCUUCUCCGGGGUCGAGCCCUAACCCUCCGUUACCCGUUGCAACCAUGUUUGGCCAAGACCCAAACAUCGAAAGUUGAUAGGGAAGAAAUUUGAAUGAACCAUCGCCGGCGCAAGGCCGUGCGAUUCGAGAAGUUAUCAUGAAUCACCAGAGAGCCCCGAAGGGCAUUGGUUUUUAAUCUAAUAAAUACACCCCUCCGUAAGUCGGGGCUUUCAGCAUGUAUUAGCUCUAGAAUUACCACGGUUAUCCAAGUAGUAAGGUACUAUCAAAUAAACGAUAACUUAUAUAAUGAGCCAUUCGCAGUUUCGCGGUAUAANUGCUUAUAC
rnacentral:rRNA from 1 species